CAUAUAAAACCAGGCCGCAACCCACCUGCUAUCAUCCGAGAGCAAACAAAGGCGUCGCGGCAUCGAGCCAAGAGAGAAGCCACCGACGCCAAUCCGCGCAUUUGUCGCCGUUAGUUCUUCACAGAGAGGUCAGGGAAGACGGCCGGGGUACACCGAUCGCUCGCGUAGCAUCCUUGUACCGUGGGGUUGAUCGGAGUCAUCGCAAUUGCUUGCUGUCGUUUCGUCGUGCCACCGUGGAAUCCGCGAUCCACCGUUGCCAUCUCCGUCAGUGCCUCCACCAUCGGUCAAGAACAUGUACCACUCGAGAUCAUGAAGGAUGCUACGAUGAGUAUGGAGAGGUCUAGGUCGUCGUUUCCCAGUCAACUAGGAUAAUGGAGGAUCGUUGUCGUCAUAUGAUAUAUUUAUUUAGCUAUUUUGUACAGAACACCUAUUAUUUAAUAAAGAUGUGACAUUGCUUUC